ensembl:lncRNA
AUGCAAAAUGCAGAAUAAAAAAUGUAAAAUGCAAAACGAAAUGUGAAAUAUAGUUGUUUAUACAAUUACAAAUUUUUUUUUUUUUUUAUUUAUUAUACAUAUAUAUAUAAAUAUAUACAUAUAUAUAAAUAUAUACAUAUAUAUACAUAUAUACAUAUAUAUAUAUAUAUGUAUGUAUAUUAAUUUUUUAUAACAUUUUAACGUUAUAUUUUUUUGUAUUAUUUUUUUAGUUAAAGAGGAAGUGAGUAAAUUAGACUUAUAUUAAUGUGUGAAAUAUAAUAAAUAUACAUGCACGUAUAUACAUGCACGUAUAUACAUGCAUACAUACGUACAUGCAUACAUACGUACAUGCAUGCAUACGUACAUACAUACAUACAUAUAUGUACAUAUGUGUAUAUAAUGUGUAUACAUGCAAGCACGAAAUACUUUGUUUAUGUGUGUACACAUGCACUAGCGAAAGUGUCGAAGUAAAAUAAGAAAUAAAACGAUUUUGUCACAUAAAAAUGAAUAACAACUUUACAGAAACCAACAGUAAUAUAGUAAAAGAUGAAAAGAAUCAAAAAAUAGAAAAUUUUAAUAAAGUUGUAAUUAUAAAAAAAAACACAGUUCUUUAUUCAAACUCAACUGAUUGUAAAAAUGAAUAUAAUGGACAAUUCUUAACAAGGGAACACAACAAUUUAUUUACUAAAAAUGUAUUAAACAAUAAUUUCAACGAAAUUGUAAAAAAUAAAAACAUAACAUAUAAUAAGGAUGUAUUAAUGUAUGCUACUAAGUGUGUAAGUGAUGGUAAUAGCGGUUGUAAUGGUAAUAGCGGUUAUAAUGGUAAUAGCGGUUGUAAUGGUAAUAGCGGUUGUAAUGGUAAUAGUGGUGGUAGUGAUGGUAAUAGUGGUGGUAGUGAUGGUAAUAGUGGUGGUAGUGAUAAUAGUGGUGGUGAUAAACAAAUAAAACAAGAACUGCAAGAAAAAAAUAUGUAUAGUACAGAAAAAUUAACAGAGAGUAAUCCAGUAAAAAUAAUUGCCACACCAUUUUAUAGUAAUAAACUAGAGAAUAACAUGAACAGUAGUACGGUUGAUACGAUAAAAAGUAAUCAUACAUUUGGUGAUAGUAAUAUUAGUGGUAAUUAUCCCUCUAUCCACAUUGGCAGUGGUAGUGGUAGUGGUAGUGGUAGUGGUAGUGGUAGUGGUAGUGGUAGUGGUAGUGGUAGUGGUAGUGGUAGUGGUAGUGGUAGUGGUAGUGGUAGUGGUAGUGGUAGUGGUAGUGGUAGUGGUAGUGGUAGUGGUAGUGGUAGUGGUAGUGGUAGUGGUAGUGGUAGUGGUAGUGGUAGUGGUAGUGGUAGUGGUAGUGGUAGUGGUAGUGGUAGUGGUAGUGGUAGUGGUAGUGGAAGUGGUAGUGGUUGUGGCAGUGGUAGUGGUAGUGGCAGUAGCAGUAGCAGUGGUAGUAGUAUAAUAAAUUAUUCCACAGAAACGAUAGAAGAAAUACAAAAAAGUCCAUGUACGAACGAACAUAAUACAAAUAUAACUGUUUCUACUUUAUUAAAAAAUAAUAUAAAUGAAUAUAAUCCAACAGAAAAUGUGGCAUUUAAUAAUGUACUAAUAAAUGAUAAAAAUGUAGAAUUUAAAAAUAUAGAAUUAAAAAAUGUAGAAUUAAAAAAUGUAGAAUUAAAAAAUGUAGAAUUAAAAAAUGUAGAAUUAAAAAAUGUAGAAUUUAAAAAUGUAGAAUUUAAAAAUGUAGAAUUUAAAAAUAUAGAAGAUAGUAAAGCAAA